rnacentral:rRNA from 1 species
AUGAACUCCUCGAAACAAGUGUGGGGACACUUUAAGUACUCUGAAUUAUCACCAAGUGCACACUCAUCAGACUACCGCGCACAGCUCGCCAUGGUUCUGCUCAUCAAGCUUCUCUUCGUCCCCGCCACCGUGUUCCUCUCGGCGCUCAUCAUUUUGUCCUACUUCACCAGCGUGCCGUACCUGAGCUACUCCGACCUCCCCUACUACGGGUCCUACUUCUGGCGGAUCCCCAAGUGCGACAUCUACCAGGGCGAGUGGGUCCCGGACGCGGACACGCCGCCGCAGUACACCAACGAAACGUGCUCCUACAUCCAGGAGCACCAGAACUGCAUGAAGUACGGCCGGCCGGACUUGGAGUUCCUGAGGUGGCGGUGGCAGCCGAGCCGGUGCGACCUCCCGCGGUUUGACGCCGACAAGUUCUUCCGGCUCGUUGGGAACAAGACGCUCGCGUUCGUAGGGGACUCACUCGCCAGGAACCACAUGCAGUCCCUACUCUGCCUCUUGUCCAAGGUGGCGUCGCCGACGGAGGUGACGGAGAGGACGGACCCCAUCAAGAUAAUGCACUACGAGCGCUACAACUUCACCCUAAAAAUCAUCUGGUCGCCUUUCCUGGUGAGGACGGAGGAGCCGGACAACAACUCCGGUGUGUUCAAGCUCUACCUCGACGAGCCCGACGGCAGGUGGUUGUCCGGCGUGGCCGGGUUCGACUACGUGAUCCUCUCGGGGGCCAACUGGUUCACGCGCCAGUCCAUGUUCUACGAGAGGGGGCAGCUCGUCGGCGGCAGCUUCGUCGCGCUCAACAUCACCAGCAACCUCACGCUGCGCUACUCCCACCGGAUGGCGUUCCGGACAGCGCUUCGGGCCAUCAACAAUCACGGCAGCGUGAAGGCGAAAGUCAUCGUGCGGACGCUGUCGCCGAUGUCUCACUUCGAGGGAGGGUCGUGGGACAAGGGCGGGGACUGCCGCCGGACGCAGCCGUACCGGAGCAACGAGACGACGAUGGGUGACCUGGACCUCGACUUCUACACGGGGCAGGUGGAGGAGUUCAGGGAGGCGGAGAAAGCGGCCGCGGUUGCGGGAGUGGACAUGGUGCUCAUGGACACGACGGGCGCCAUGCUGCUGCGGCCGGACGGACACCCGAGCAGAUACGGGCACUGGCCGGAAGAGAAGCGGGUACUCUCCAACGACUGCAUCCACUGGUGUCUGCCCGGGCCGGUCGAUGCCUGGAACGACAUGUUGCUUCAAAUCAUGUCAGACUAG